GUCCUCGCUUCGGCUGGACAUAUACUAAAAUUGGAACGAUACAGAGAAGAUUAGCAUGGCCCCUGCACAAGGAUGAGAAUCAUUGUCCAAAUAAUAUUCAUCCUUUU